AAUAAAUAGUGGAAUAGCGCAAUUUAAUAUUAAAUUACUUAAAAUCUAUAAUUAAUGUAUAUUUUAAUGCGCAUAGGAUGACAUGAUAAGAAAAUCAUUUAUAAGCUUUUUAAGUAAAACAUAUUUUUAAACAUAAAUAUGUCAAGAUUUAUUUUGAAAAUGAAAACGGAGAGGAAAAUUCAACCACAUAUAACUGUUUUCUAGUUCAAUGUCAGGUAAAUUUCUUCCAUUUAAUAACAAUAACAUUGCUAUUAUAAAAAGGAAUCAUAAGCUUAAUUUAAAGAGUUGCUUUCGGCUACACAAGUUCAAAUGCUUGAUUUUCCAUCGGCGGGUUGUGAGCGAUUUAAACAGAGAAUCUCGUAUGCAAACAAACAACUUUUAUAGUUGCCGGCACGAAAGAAGAAGGAAAAUGACGCAUGCGUGUUGUAUGUCCUUAUUGAUUGCAGUAAUCUGGAUUUACCUAGAGUUCUUAUUACUAAACUGUAAUUGCGUCUUCUUAUGAUCGUAGUAUGUUUAUUCAAGGAAAAACUUUAAAUAGUCAAGUUCGAAC
rnacentral:lncRNA from 1 species